AACGGAAGGAAUUCAUCACCAGCAGACCCGCACGCACUACAGCAAAGGUUAAAGAAGUCCCUUAGGCAGAAGGUCAGUGACACCAGAUGAAAAUAUGGAACUACAUAGAGAAGGAAGAGCAACUGUGUGGGGGAUUCCAGAAUCCCAGCGCUUCCAGUAGGUGAAGUGUUGGUCCAGGGUUGGAAAGAACGUGGAGGCAAGAACAGCCCACAAGUGCUGGGUGAAGGAGGAAGGUCCCGGGGGACGGACCAGCCUUGCCAUCGAGUGUCUGGGUGUAGUGUGUCUCUUUGGCACUCCUUAGGGACAUGACACUGGGCCUCUGACUUCCUGCUGCAAGUCCUUCAACCAUGGGUGAAGCUCUAUUACUAUUGUGUGCGUGUGAGUGGGACCCAUCCCCUGAACCAGCUUCUGCUUAUCAGAACACACUCCAUGCAAGCAAGGCUCUCAUCCUUCUCUCUUGUGGCUGCCGCAGCCUCACAUCAUGCAAGAAAAUGAGCAGCCAUUUGAGGAAACACCUCUAAGGAUGACCUGCUGUGCCCUGAAUGCCAGCAAACAUCUCGCUUCCCUGCACACUGCCAGUUCUGCCUUUGCUUCCAGCUCGCUCAGUCCUGGAAGACGGGGCUGCUCAGUCUGGUGGUCUUUUGCUUCCAGCUUACCACGUUGCCCUUUGUGCUUCUCCUCAUGUCCCAUGCUCUCUUUGACUCCACUCUCAUUGGCCCACUAGGAUGCCAACUUGUGUUUCCAUCCCCUGCCUCCCCAUACCCGAGCCAGUGAUGGGAGAGAGGAACGAGAAUACUGGGCAGUUGCACUGGAGGCCGGCUGCAGAACCUGGUGAAAUGGGAGGGAUGAAGAAGUAAGGAGAGGUUCCAGAAACUCUUGGUCUGCCUGAAGUAGUUUUCCACUAUGAGGAAACAUUGUGCUAGAAUAACCCAGAGAUAGCCCAGCUGGCCAGGAUCCCCUACAAAAGGACAGGUUGCUGGUGGUUGUAUAACCGUAAGAACACACCUAUUAUAACCCACCGAAUCUGCCAGGAGUCAAGGGGACACUGCAAACACCAUGAAAUUCAAACUCCCCAGCUCCCCACCGCACCCCACCUGAGCCCAGCCACUCCUCAGCCUCAUCUCUUUAGACUCUCUUCAUUUCUAUAAGCUCUUCCUUCCGGUAUGGCCACUGAUUUGGCCCACAACUAGUCUGGAUUCCUCAAACUGUCAACAUCAUGAAAGACCCUGUCCCCAAAAAGAAAAGGCAGGGCACUGUUCUAGAUUAAGAGA